CCCCAGGCUGCUGAAGCAGAAUGUGAGGACUUAACUGCGGCACCAGCAGAUCUCUGUCAUUCAGUGUAUUAAUGGUGAUUCCACCAGAAAUUGCCUAGACUCCUUGAAAUUUGGGACCUCUGAAAAAAAGAGCUUGAGGCUGAGUGUGCCAUUCAAAUUAGGAGAAUUGGAGACAAACUGAAUUUCCGGCAGAAACUUCUGAAUCUCAUAGCCAAACUCUUCCGCUCAGGAACCUGACUGCUCCAGGAGCCUCUGGAUGAGGAGACCCCCUUAAAAUGGAAGGUGUUGAUCCCCAUCAAUUAGAGGAGAGACUGUCUUGACGUGGAGAGCAAUGUGAAGGCACUCUUGUUCGCUUUUGGAUGCCCUUGGAAACGAAGAUAGAAUACGUCAAAAAUGAAUUUCUGUUGGAGGUUUCCCAGAAGUCAUUCUUUGGGAUAUGAGAACAUUGUAAAACCACUUUGUUUAUUUUAAAACAAGAAUGGAGGAACUUUGAAAAUAGGGAAUUAAGUAUGUAUACAUUUUGUUUUGCUUAGGGAAUCGUUGUAGUAUUUUUGCUGAAAGUUGCUGCUCAGCCUAGCAUAAAGAGGAGUUGACAAAUGGUUAGACUUGGUGGGGUCAGCAAACGGAGGAUGUUCAGUGUUUGCUUCUACUUUUGGAUGACGACUCCAGAACAGUGUAUAUUUGGUUUAUAUAUAUAAUUUUUUUAAAAGUAAAAGUUUCCUUCUGAGAACACUGAAUGUCAUAGUGAAUGUCGAUUUUAUAGGUCACUACAAAUUAUAAAAUAACCUGGUAGUUUGUUUCUUUUGACUCAAAAUGUAUUGCUUCUGUUCAGAGGACCUUUCAUUAAAUGUGUUCCUGUGGGCCACAACUGGAAAGUGUCUACUUUGAAAAAACUCGAUAGACGUAUAGGAAUGUUACUUGGUGCCAGUAAAAUUCUUGCAGGUUGAAUAUUGAAGGAUAAAGAGUAUGGGGAUUUUUGCACAACCAGGAAUAAUGAAAAAAAAAUGAAUUCGAUUUUUUACUGUUGUAAUUAAAACUUUGCAAAACAAAUGUUCUAUAGUAACUGUUGGUAAGGAGAUGAACGUGUUUCCUACAGAAGUUUUUAAAAUCUAUAAAAUGCCCUUUCUCAUGCUAGUCAACUAGUAAGCAGCCUAUAUAAAGUGAUCUUUUAGGAGAAAUUAAGCAUGUUUCAUAAUUGGGAUUUACUUUUUUUUUUUUUAAAAAAGGAACAGAUUGCUCAUCCAGAAUGAAAAUCCAUUUACAUACAUGAAUAUAUAUACACAUAUAUAAUUUGCAUUAGAGUAAUAUUAAUAUGUAGAGUCUGAGAAGAGUUUCACGUAUUUCAUUUUUUAAAAAUUAUUAAGAGGCCAGGCUAUCAAAAAAGUCCCCAAAUAUAUGAAAAAGAAGUAAUAAUGUCAUGAUUAAAUUUCAGCAGGAAUAAUUUUAUUUAUUUUACCUAUUUAUAAUUAAAAUAUUUUUUGUUUAGUUUAAAAUGUCUGUUAGUGAAAAGUUCAGUUUUGGGUUAUGAGACUAGGGUUUCAUAACUACUUGAACUCUUACAGUAAGAAUGUUUUAAUAUAGGCUGUAGUCACUUUAGACGAAAAAUUACCUCAGCAUCUGUUUUCCUUCAGUAUUACUUAAAGCUGUUAGUUUAUUUAGUUGCAAAGUUUUUGUUUUUUUUGCUCUCUCUGCCUAGAGGCAGAUACUUUGCUAUAUGGAUAUUUAUGGCCUGUAACUCUAUUUAUACAUAUAUAUUCAUUAAACCUGAUACUGUAGCUGUAAACUAUUAAAAAUUAUUACCACUCUUUUCUGUGUGUUUAUUUUUUCAUCCUGUAAGCUCCUGAGUGUUCAUUACGAAACCAGAAUAUUUUAACUGGUUUCCAUCAGCGCCGUCUCUGUCCUAGUUCCGUGGCAGGAAUAGAG
ensembl:lncRNA